AUGAACGCUAGCGGGAGGCCUAACACAUGCAAGCCGAGGGGUAUAUAGUUUUCGGACUAUAGAGACCGGCGCACGGGUGCGUAACGCGUAUGUAACUUACCUUUAUCACUGGGAUAGCCCGAGGAAACUCGGAUUAAUACCGGAUAACAUAUUUCAUAGCAUUUUGAGAUAUUAAAAGAUUCAUCGGAUAGAGAUAGACAUGCGUAGGAUUAGUUAGUUGGUAAGGUAACGGCUUACCAAGACAGUGAUCCUUAGGGGGCCUGAGAGGGUGAUCCCCCACACUGGAACUGAGACACGGACCAGACUCCUACGGGAGGCAGCAGUGAGGAAUAUUGGACAAUGGGUGCAAGCCUGAUCCAGCCAUCCCGCGUGAAGGAUGACAGCCCUACGGGUCGUAAACUUCUUUUGUAUGGGAAUAAACCUAGUCUCGUGAGAUUAGCUGAAGGUACCAUACGAAUAAGCACCGGCUAACUCCGU
rnacentral:rRNA from 1 species